rnacentral:rRNA from 1 species
UACGUAGGCAGCGAGCGUUGUUCGGAGUUACUGGGCGUAAAGGGUGUGUAGGCGGUUGUUUUAAGUUUGGUGUGAAAUCUCCCGGCUCAACUGGGAGGGUGCGCCGAAUACUGAAUGACUAGAGUGCGGGAGAGGUGAGUGGAAUUCCUGGUGUAGCGGUGAAAUGCGUAGAUAUCAGGAGGAACACCGGUGGUGUAGACGGCUCACUGGACCGUAACUGACGCUGAGACACGAAAGCGUGGGUAGCAAACAGG